CGCGUGGCGGCGUGCCUAAUACAUGCAAGUCGAACGGUCUUUCUAUGGAAGCUUGCUUCUACUGAGAAGAUAGUGGCGAACGGGUGAGUAACACGUGGGUAACCUGCCCAUAAGAGGGGGAUAACAUCCGGAAACGGGUGCUAAUACCGCAUAGUUUUCUUGAUCGCAUGAUCGGGAAAGGAAAGACGGCCUUUGUGCUGUCGCUUAUGGAUGGACCCGCGGCGUAUUAGUUAGUUGGUGAGGUAACGGCUCACCAAGACGAUGAUACGUAGCCGACCUGAGAGGGUGAUCGGCCACAUUGGGACUGAGACACGGCCCAAACUCCUACGGGAGGCAGCAGUAGGGAAUCUUCCGCAACGGACGAAAGUCUGACGGAGCAACGCCGCGUGAGUGAAAGAAGGUUUUCGGAUCGUAAAACUCUGUUGUCAGAGAAGAACAAGUUGGAGAGUAACUGCUCCAGCCUUGACGGUAUCUGACCAGAAAGCCACGGCUAACUACGUGCCAGCCGCCGC
rnacentral:rRNA from 1 species